ACUCCUCAACAAUUUUAGAGAGCUUAAUGAUGUUACAGAGAAAGUACUGAGUUGGCAUGUGGAAUCUCCUGGACUUGCCUUGAACCCUUCUAAAAUGUUUUUGAUGGCCUCAUGAAAGCCCUUUGAUAUGUUUGGACUGUUCCAUCAUGGCUUCUGGAAUGACCCUGCAAGCUCGUUGAUCUUGCUUUUGAUGGACUUAUGGCAAAAUUACUAACUUUUGAAAUCUUUUGGACUGCCAUUUGAAGUCCUAGCCCUAGAGGACUCCUCUUUUUUGGGUUCUGGCCUUUGUUCUUUGGUUUGGCCUUUGAAAUGCUCUUGAUUUCACCAUGAGGAUCAGUGAAUUUUUCGUUGAUGACCUCUGAGCGAUGUUGAAAAUUGAAUAUCGGAUUUCAUGAUGCCCAAAGUCAUGGUCAUUAGGCCCAAGACCAUUUGGCCAAACGGUCAUUAUGCUGAAUCUCGGAAAAUUAUUAAUUAACACUUUCGAAGAACAUUUGCUAGUUCUUUAAAGAGAAUAACCAACAAAUAAUAGAUUUGAUCAAUUUUAAGGCAUGUCUUCAUUUUGAAGACUUUUGGAAUUAUGUGAAGACAUUUUUCUCCUGCAGACAUUUUGAAGACAUCUUAUAGUUUGUGAAGAUUUUAGAAGGCAUGUUGACGUUGAAUAAGUCUUUCGGAGGCUUUUUGAAUUUUAAGCAGACAUUUUGUGCUGAACAAAUGAAGAAUUUGACUACAUACUUCACGCUCAUUUUUUUCAGCUAGAGGUCUUUAAAUACUUUCUGACCGACCUGUUAUCUUUUUAGAAUAUCUGAGAGUUGCCAUUUUAUUUUUUGAACAGUUGAAGAUCAUCAGAUCCUUAACUUAAUCAACCUCAAGCCUUGAAAACUUAACCAGAGGAAUUAAUUUAAUUGUUAGAUUAGCUGCAGAUCUUUUGAACAUUUUACAAAAUAAUAUCUGAGCAACCAGCAAUUUUGGAAGCAUAUCUGAAAGACUUAAUUUAAAUGUAUUGUGCAGUUUAAGAUCUUCAUAAUAAUACUUGAUCAAACAGAAGCCUUUAAGGAAGACUAAGAUGAGCAGGAGAUCUUUUGAAUUCUUCCUAAUCAACCAUUAUUUAUGAAUUAUUUUGAACUUAACAUGAAGUCUUAAAAUAAAUCAAGAGGACUUUGUUACGAAGUUCUAAAAAAUGCAUCGAUGUUUCCUGAAUUUCUACGAAGCUUAUCAGAAGUAUCCUUGGCCUCUAUUAUGUUCGCUGAAAUUGUGAGAAGUUUUGUUAACUUCUAUGAACUUCCUUGAACUUAUACUCCACAGCUCAUACAAAGUUUCCUAAAUUUCUAGGAAGUUCAAUGAAUUUCUUUGAAGUUGGCUGAACUUGUUCAUUUUUUCUAUAACUUAUAGAAUGAUCCCUGAACAUCAACAAAAUUCCCUUAGCUUCUGGAAAAUGUCCUCAACU